UGGGGAAUAUUGCACAAUGGAGGGAACCCUGAUGCAGCGACGCCGCGUGAACGAAGAAGGCUUUCGAGUCGUAAAGUUCUUUUAUAUGGGAAGAUAAUGACGGUACCAUAAGAAAAAGCCCCGGCUAACUACGUGCCAGCAGCCGCGGUAAUACGUAGGGGGCUAGCGUUGUCCGGAAUCACUGGGCGUAAAGGGUUCGUAGGCGGAAAUGCAAGUCAGGUGUAAAAGGCAGUAGCUUAACUACUGUAAGCAUUUGAAACUGCAUAUCUUGAGAAGAGUAGAGGUAAGUGGAAUUUUUGGUGUAGCGGUGAAAUGCGUAGAUAUUAAGAAGAAUACCGGUGGCGAAGGCGACUUACUGGACUCAUUCUGACGCUGAGGAACGAAAGCGUGGGUAGCAAACAGG
rnacentral:rRNA from 1 species